GCGUCCUGCUCGUGAUCGUCUUCUCACCCUUCACGGCAGGCGGCACGGCGAAGGGCUCCCGCGGCGAACGGGCCGGCGGGAGCCCUUC
rnacentral:ncRNA from 1 species